AACUGAUACUACCUGCGGGAACCUGCGGAAGGAUCAUUAAAGUAAAAUAUGGGGUUCAUAAAUUAUGACCCUUAAAUCUGAACUUGUGGUAUCACUGAUUUGGUUGUUUUGGGUUUAAAAAGGAUAGGCUAAUAUGAAUGGGAAAUUUUUUUUUUUCUAGGUUUCUUUUUUUGCAUUAGACUUGUCGACCCAAAACAAAAACUGAAAAACUCUUAUUUUUUUUGACUGAAAUAUCAAGUU
rnacentral:misc_RNA from 1 species